GUGAAUCAUUAAACUUGGUGCCUGUUCGAAUUUACACUUCGUUCAGCCCAUUUUUAUUACACACUAUUUCACACACACUUGUGCACUCGUACAUUUUUUAAACACCUGUUGUUUUACAUUUGUAAAUGUUAAUGUGUCUGUUUUUAUGUUAAAUACAAUAA
rnacentral:misc_RNA from 1 species